rnacentral:rRNA from 1 species
AUGCAAAUGUCGUGGAAGUGGAUCCCUGGGAUGCAUGACCACGAGGCCGGCUCCUCGAUGGGGCGGCGCCGUGUGGCCUUGGUCAUUGAGACGCCGCCGGGGGCUGCAUCGCACAUGCGCGAGCGCACGUACGUCCCCAUCACGCAGUUUCGACAUUAUUGGGAGCAGGCCAUCCAUGUGCCAUGGCUGGACGUACACCUGCCAAACGGCCGGCAUUUGAAUCCAGAAAGGGUUACAGUGCCGGUCGUUCUGGCCUCCGGUCACGCGCGGGCGGAGGAGAUCCGUCGUCGUCAGGAUCUACUGCCCACCAAGUUCGUCCACGACCGGCCAUUUACCAAGGACUCCCCUACUAAGACAUGUGGUUCUACAACGAGCACGACCAGCGCCGCCGCAACAUGUGCUCCUGCGCCGCCGCUCGUGAGGUAG